rnacentral:lncRNA from 1 species
AUUUAUGCCUGCUAUGCUCAUGUUUUAGUGUAACUUGUGCUAGGGUGUGGUUACAACCUUGGUAAUUAGUUUAUCUAUGUUUGUAUUGCCCUAAAGAUCAAUGUUCAUGUUGAGUGUUUAGCUUAAAAGUGACCCUAGGUCUUAGUUAUCCUUGUUUGACCAAGUUUGACCCUCUAGAGUGCAUUUGAAAGAUCCAUUAUGAAAUCCGUGCU